UACGGAGGGAGCUAGCGUUGUUCGGAAUUACUGGGCGUAAAGCGCACGUAGGCGGUCUUGUAAGUUAGAGGUGAAAGCCCGGGGCUCAACUCCGGAACUGCCUUUAAGACUGCAAGACUAGAAUCCAGGAGAGGUGAGUGGAAUUCCGAGUGUAGAGGUGAAAUUCGUAGAUAUUCGGAAGAACACCAGUGGCGAAGGCGGCUCACUGGACUGGUAUUGACGCUGAGGUGCGAAAGCGUGGGGAGCAAACAGG
rnacentral:rRNA from 1 species